rnacentral:rRNA from 1 species
CACGCAGGCGGUCUUGCCAGUCAGGGGUGAAAGCCCGAGGCUCAACCUCGGAACUGCCUCUGAUACUGCAGGACUUGAGACUAGGAGAGGGUGGUGGAAUUCCCAGUGUAGAGGUGAAAUUCGUAGAUAUUGGGAGGAACACCAGAGGCGAAGGCGGCCACCUGGACUAGAUCUGACGCUCAGGUGCGAAAGCGUGGGGAGCAAACA